GCCUUCAAAUGAAUAUGAAGCAGGCUGCAAACCUUCUCUGGGUUAAUCAAGUUUAAAUAUUAUUAUGUUGUGAUGUGAAUCUUAAUCUCUCUGUAUAACUCGUCCAGAGCUGCCUGCACCCCCCAUCAGUCCCUUUCAGGGGAUUAGAUCUGAGGUGAAUGUCUCGUAGGAAAACAGCAUGCAGAGCUAUGCAUGUUGCAGGGGAGCAGAUCGUCAGGACAAUCUGAUUAACUGUGUGAAAACGUUCCUCAUCUGCCACCACUUGAAACCUCCAAACAAAGCCCAAGAGAGGAGAUGAGAGGAUUAGGGUGGAGAUGAUUCCUCACGUAUGUCCAACAUCUGCCAACAUGUCACAGCAACACACAGCAGGGUGCGGCUCCACUCAACUCCACUCAAGUCGUUACCCGCCGAUUCUAGACUCAGUGCGAGGCUGCAGCGAGUUCCUGUGAUGGUCAGCUGACAAUCCCGCUUACGCUGAGGGGUACGAUGCAAAGUGGAAAAUGAAAACGAGAAAAGUACUGGUGCGAGGAGGUGAGUCAAACCCUGACGGACGGACGGACGGACGGACAGCUGGACAGCUGCACAGCUGGGCCGAACUCCCGGGGUUUCAACAAUGCACACC